rnacentral:rRNA from 1 species
AGUGAAUAGAUACCCAGGUAGUCCACGCCCUAAACGAUGUCUACUAGUUGUUGGUGGAGUAAAAUCCAUUAGUAAACGCAGCUAAACGCGUGAAGUAGACCGCCUGGGGAGUACGGUCGCAAGAUUAAAAACUCAAAGGAAUUGACGGGGGCCCGCACAAGCGGUGGAUUAUGUGGAUUAAAUUCGAUGCAACGCGAAAAACCUUACCUGGCCUUGACAUGCCACUAACGAAGCAGAGAUGCAUUAGGUGCCCGAAAGGGAAAGUGGACACAGGUGCUGCAUGGCUGUCGUCAGCUCGUGUCGUGAGAUGUUGGGUUAAGUCCCGCAACGAGCGCAACCCUUGCCAAUAAUUGCCAUCAUUAGUUGGCACUUAUUGGACUGCCGGUGACAAACCGGAGGAAGUGGGGAUGACGUCAAGUCCUCAUGGCCCUUAUGGCCAGGGCUUCACACGUAAUACAAUGGUCGGUACAGAGGGUUGCCAACCCGCGAGGGGUAGCCAAUCCCAGAAAGCCGAUCGUAGUCCGGA